CCUCUCGAGUGCCUCCCUUCCUUGACUUCACAUCCACUCUGAGCCCUCAGCUCUGGUACUUCUGCUGUAGCUGCUGCUGCUCAGGAUUAGCAGUUGGGAAAGAGCAAACAAAGCCCAUGGUCAUCACUCUGGCUAACUUCCAAUUAAGUCCUAGAAAAAUAACCUGUCAGUCUUCGCUAUGACAGGAUCAGUGUUGCACCUUACAAGAAUCCUGAUUUUGCUCAGGAAACAAUGGAGCCAGUCCCAGGAGAGGAGGUGAGGCUGGUCAAAGCCAACCAUAGUAAGCCUACUCUCUUUCAUCUGGAAUUAGUCUGAGGAUGGACCAGCUCAGGCCAAUGAGACAUAAGGAGAGGUCUGCAGGGGCUUUCUUGGAAAGAUUAUCCUUCCUGAAUGAGAGGCACAUUCAAAAGCUUCCUUUCAGCUAGCAUCUCUUUGUCUUCCUGCGUGGGAUGUUAUGGGAAAUGAUAUGACACCUGGAGCUGCAGCAGUCAUCUCAACACCAUGAGGAGAGAGAUCUUACACUCUGAGGAUGGCAGAGGAGGAAGAUGGAAUGAAUGAUCCAGGGUCCUUCCUGUCAGUGCUGGACCACUGUCUCAACCCUGGAAUUCCCUACCUCCAUAUUUUUCAUUAUAAAAGAAAUAUACAUAUAUAUACACACACAUUUUAAGUCACUGUGGGUUAUUCUGUUACUUAUAGCAGAAAGUAUCCUGAUAUAUUGUCCUACAGUUAAUUAAAUUUAUCAACAUAAUGUGUCAAUUUCUGUGCUCAGGAUGGUGCUAGCAAUAAGCUCCUUUCCCUGGGUUUACUUUUCUUCUUAAUAAAGCAUACCUUUAGUAUAUCUUUUAGCAAAGGUCUAAAGGUGA